CAGGAGGCUUACUCUCGAAUUACAAUCCCAAUAUACGAUCCCAAUCUCAAUGCAAGAAACGUCAUUUGGCACUCUUGAAUUUAACACUAGCGCCACAUUGGUGCGGAUAUUGAAUGAACUAAAUUUCAUUGGGAUUGAGUUUUGGAACUUGAGAUCGUUACUCUUGAAGCCACUUUGACAGCUCCAUAUUGCGUUGAAAUUGUGUUGUUAUUGGAUAUUGUAACAAUAGCGAAAGAGUAACUUUGUUAGAAUUGAGUUAACAUUUUAGCUGUGAAAAAGUGCAUAAAAUGGUUCGUUUGGUGUUGCAAAGCGUAAUUCUUAGUGAUGUCUAUAGGAAGGAUUCGCGAGAAACUCGUAAUUUGCGUAGGAAUGCUCGAUACGCCGAUAAAACCCUUGCUAUGACUGACGACGAGUUUAAGCGAAAUUAUUGUGUCACCAAGGCAUUUUUUUAUGGAUUGUGCUAAGAAUUUGAACCCUUGAUGCAAACUACAAAAACGAGAAAUGAUAUCAGUAAAAAAUACAAGAUACUAAUAGCACUUUCAUUCUUUGCGACUGGCGGGAUACUAGGUACUCCCAUGUCACAGCAAUCAUUAUCUCGAGCAUUGAGGGAUGUGAGUGCAGCAUUAAACAGCCCGAGUGUUCUGCAUAAACACAUAAUAUAUAGAGUGUUACAUUAUUACCCUGUUGUAGCAACAAAAAUUAUAAACACUUGCUGCAUGCUCCACAAUAUGUGUAACCGGGCACAUUUAAUAGUGGAAGAUGAUGAGAACCCUAAUAACAUACAGACCUAACUGUUGAUGUAGAACCUGCACUACAAGAAAGAGAUGGAGCUUCUAUAGAGCUGCAAAGGGGUAUAGAAGCUAGAGCAAAUCUUGUGCGACAAUUGUGGGCAGCAUGUGGUGUGUGAUAAUGAGUAAUAUUUGGUUGGGAAUAUCCUCACAGGAAGUAUAAAAACAAUCAUUAUUUAAAAAAUAUAUUUAUUGUUUAUAAUCUUUAUUGACCUAAAAUACAGAGAACACUAAUAUAAUUUGUAAUAAUUAAUAAAUUAUUAUUUAAAUAACAUUUAAAAAUCUACACAAAACUUCAUAAAUAUUAGUAUGGAAUCAUAUAAUGCCUACAAAACUUUUUUCACCUUGCUGCUCGCUGUGUUCUACCUGCAGCCCUGCCUCCACAGGAGGCUGUGGAUUAUGAAUAUGAAUUUCUUGCUCUAUUUCCAGGGUUUCAGUGGCAGCCUGUGAUGUGGAUGGCAGGUCUAUUAAUUUAGAAGGGCGAGACUGCAAAAGAAAGGAAGUUAUUAUAUAUCACAUAACUGAAUUAGAUGUAUAUUACAAUUGUGUGCAAAAUGAAUUAUUUGUUUUUUACUGU